ensembl:lncRNA
GUGCGGAAAGUAUAUUCCAGCCUUAAGCUUGUGUAGCAGGAUGAAUGCUGCACUCUCCUUGGGUUGGCUGUGUUAUGCUCCUGUGACAUAAUGACCGUGCCUUGCUUUGACCAAUCAUGACACGAGGAUGCACUAUAAAGCUGGGCAAGGGUUACUCACUGUUCUCUUGCUGCAACGUCAGGGGCACGCCCCGCUUCCCGUUUGCCUCACUUCCUGUUUGCCUCACUUCCUGUUUACCAUUGCUGACAGGGUCACUGUUGGGUGUCCAUAGCCAGAGAGCUGAGCCGCUCGCUGGCUGCUGUAUGUCCAGUUCGAGCCGUGAGCCGCUCGUGAGCCGUUACUGGCUGUUACCGUGGCUGCCGGUUGCUCCCCGUUCCCUUGUGGUGGACAAAAUUUACUGAUUGGCGGGCCGCCGCUUGUCUGGAGCUGUGCUGGCUACACAGGGUCCCAAACGUAGGAGACGCUGCUGUUUUGCCUCCGCGGGUUUGUCUCGCAGACGUGGAAGCUGUGGGCCUCCGGUGGCGGGGACUGGUGUCUUCGGGUGGUGGGAACCCCUUCCUGUGUGGUGUGCUGCUCAUCCCCUGGUUGUUUUAUUUAUUUCUUCACUCAGGUGUGUGUGUGUGUGUGUGUGUGUGUGUGUGUGUGUGUGUGUGUGUGUGUGUGUGUGUGUGUGUGUGUGUGUGUGUGUGUGUGUGUGUGUGUGUGUGUGUGUGCGCGUGCGCAUGUUCACGUUCACGUGUGAGUGGGGUGAUUUCUCCUGGGCUCCCUUGUGAUGCCCGUUGGCCCAAACCUCCACCAGAGAGCCCCCAGCUCUGAUUAGUCCCCAAACCCGUCAUUUAACAAUCUCGUGUGAAUGGUUGUUUUUUUUUUUUUUUUUUUUUUUUUUGGUUUUAAACUGAGUAUUUUUAGUAUUAAAUAAAAUUUGUAUUUUUUGUCUGCACUGGAAUCAUAUCUCUUGCCUCAUCAGUGGAACGAACCUGAGUUGCCUUCUCGUUAGUGGUGGUUAUAAUUCCCUGGGUGAAAGUCCCAGGGUGGCGUUGUCUGGCCAGUGUCUACAUUCAGUAAUUGUAGCACGUUAGUUUAUCCCCGACCCCUGCGCUCGCCACACUUGUUUUAUGCUUACCGCGUCCGCGAGGUCCGUGCGGCUCCGUGCGGAAAAAUUACGUCAUUUUCGCACCCCGCCCCCUCCGGCGGCCUUUCCGUGCGGAAAAUUUUCGCUCCACACACCUCAACAUUUUUCUAACCAACGCGGACGGAGCCGCACGGAAAAACAUGGCGGAGGGCCAGGACCUACUCGUAGCUGAAGUCUAGAAAUACGUGCACCUAUAUGAUUCAUCUCACAGAGAUCACCGUGGUAACCGGGUUAUGAACUAUUCAUGGUGUGAAAUAAAACUAACUGCUGAAAUGCUUUUAUUUGGUAAAAUGCCGUGUUGUAAGUGGUGUAAACCAUGGCAAACUUCUUCUUCUCUAGUUUAGUACCAGAGUAGACCAGGUGUCGCUGUGUCGAUGUCCACAGCUUGUUAGUGCUUCUUCCAGUGCUGCUCCUCCCUCGCUGUUCUCUCUACUGUAUGCCAUGGUACACAAUGUUUUUUUCCUGGGGAGGGACGAGGACUUAGUGCUAGACUUUAAUCCCCUUUCAUGACCAUGAUGAGUAGUUACCAUUAUUAUUGUUCUGAUUAUGAUGAUUUAUCGUUGUUCUUCUAUAUUACUGAAUGUUUUCCUUUCUUCUGUGUGUUUGAGCUACACUGCCCCCGGCAGUUUGGAAGCAGACUUCUUCUUCCCUAGUUUAUUACUAGAGUAGACCAGGUAGACGUGUGUUAGGGAUACACUGCCCCCUGCAGUUUGGGAGCAGACGCGCACGGCCCGCAAUAGCAUAGCUGCAAGUGUAGCUUCUGAUAGCCGUGCCUUAGCAGCUCCCGAGCAGCCGGGAAGUCAAGGUAGCUGGAUGACAGUUCGUAGGAAACGUAGUCCUAAACUCAACCCGCUGUCCCGGCACACCACAAACCCCUUCACGUUUCUAAUCGUUUUUCCCCACUCAACGACACACCCGCUGAGAAACAAACUCUGAUCAUUGGCAGCUCCAGGGUUGCCACCUUUCAGAAAUUAAAAUAAAGGACGGCCACCACGGCUUCUUGGGGCCACAGUUCAGUAAAGUUGGAAAAAUAUUCACAGAUUCAGACUUCCAGCAUUCCAGCAUUAGAUAUACUUUGUCAAAAGAUAAACAAUGCCUCUUUCCCGUCGUUGUAAGGCAGACAAUGUGCUACAUUGUCUUACUUAUCAAAAGUAGCUGUCUUUCAAGCUGCAGUUUACUGAACUACCACCCAAGGAGUGGUAAUAUUUAAUUUUGAAAAAAGCACUUAGCCUUACUUAAAGCUUUAAGUAUGGAGUCACAGGAGUGUCACAAUAAAAUAUAAAUAAAUAAGGAAAUAAAUGUGGAAAUAUAAAGAGAAAUAAAUAAAUAAAUGUGGAAAUAUAAAGAGAAAUAAAUAAAUAAAUGUGGAAAUAUAAAGAGAAAUAAAUAAUUGUGGAAAUAAAUGUGGAAAUAUAAAGAGAAAUAAAUGAAUAAAUAAAUAAACAUAAAGAGAAAUAAAUAAAUAAAUAUAAAGAGAAAUAAAUAAAUAAAAAGGGAAAUUUUCUCUUUGGUUUUCCCUUUUCUCUUUUUUUCCUUUUAUUUUUCCAGUUUGUCAUUGUCUUUUCCGUUUUGCAUUUGCCUUUUCCUUUUGGCACUCAGUCCAUCAAGUAAAAGCAAAGUCAAAAGCCUUGGCUUGACUUGGUGGACUGAGCUGUCAAUCAAAUGGCUCUGGGCGGGGCUUUCUGUCCAGGGUGAGUAAUCGUACCUGAUCACAGGAUUCCUGCUUGGCGAUAGCUCCUAGCCCGGCUAAACGGAAGUGAUGUUACCUUGGCGCUGAGAGGAAGUGCAGACAACGCAGUUUGCAAAUACACGAACGUGACACUUUCAGCGGAUCAGAGUAGCUGGAUUUCUCAAUGUUUGGACUCUGUAGCGGGAUAUGAAGAAGUCAGUAUCUCAGUUGGUCAGAGAAGAAGCUGACAGGCUGGAUGAGCAAGCACAUCCAAACACCCCGUCGCCGAGACAGUCGGAUUCAACGCUGUUAACAAGAGACCCCAUUGAUGCUGAGGUGUCAAGACUUUUCUUGUCAUACCAGACCUCUUCACGGUCUCUGACCCCACGUCACAGGCCAAUGCUAUUUCCAAGAAGCUGUGCUGUUUCGUACUCACCACAGCAACUUCUGGACUGCAUCAUUUGGCCAGUGGAAUCCGAUAGUGAUGAGGACACAAGUCUGGAGGAAAAGUGCCAUAUCUCUGGAUUUCUGAGAGAAUACAUUGAAAAUGCCUCCUCACGAUGUUUUCAGGAACUUCUGAAGUUCUGGCAGGGGUGGAAGGUUCUUCCAAAAGAGCUGCAUGUGGAAAUUGUGCAUGGACAAAUGCCUCAGUCAAGCACAUGCAUGGAGACUCUUCGGCUGCCUUCACGCUAUAAGUCUUAUGAUGUUUUCUGUGAGGCUCUGAACGCAGCAGUCAGUUCUGUUCAAACAGGGUUUGGACUUGUUUAAAGUCACAACUUCAAGUGUUAUGCAGCCAAUUAAUGUUACCAAAAUGCAUAAAAUGUUAAAGCAGAUAUGUUUAGUUGUUUUGACAAUUGUUCUGAUGUGAUGUAAGCUUGUGAGGCAAAUGCAUGCUUCAGGAGAAGGUUCACAACAGUUCUUGUUUUUUCUGCUGCCAGGCUCAAAUUGUUGUGUGUGACAUUUAACAUGUAACAGAAAUGUGGCGGCCAGUGAGUUGUUGCAGGAAGACAGUUUAAAGGUGAGAGUUGAGAGAGUGAAUUAAUGGAGUAGCUUAUUUUUAUGUAAAAGAUUACAAACCUGAACUAUGGUUCAGGUUUGUGCAUUUCUGAACUGUGACAACAAAAUGUUUCCACACUUGGAGAAGACUGUGUUUGGGGAACAGUUGUAAUAUAAAUGUGUGGAAGUUAAAGAAAAGAAUUAUCAGUUCUGUUAAAAAAUGUUUUUUUUAUUGGCACAUUGUUUUAAUGCUUUCAAAUUAUUCAGCAUGCAAUAAAAGCAGUUUUGUAUCCCUUUGUUAUGUCUUGCUUUUUUACAUUUUUGUUUUCACAGGCAUUUAUUUGAAAUUCACAACUUGUCAUAAAAUUAUGCACCAAAAAUUUGCAGCAUUCUUUCAAGUCUUGUUCGACCAUUUCAAACGGUUUCAUUCUGAUCAUGUUAAGGUGAGUUGUGAUAGGCCUAGGUUUGUUGAAAAAUGUUCUUAAGAAUAUUGCUCUCAGCUCUCGUAGGAGGCGGUCGCACUUUUCCUUGCUCCGCUAUCUCUGUUCCUCCCUACCCUCAUGUCUCCCUGCUUGCUGCAUUUCUUCGUCUUCGUCUCGUUUGUCUGACUUGGAGCGAUUGCUUGGCACUGGACCUUUGAAACACCGAUCAUGGAAUUGAUUAACUGGUCUCUCAACGCAAUUGACAAGAUUGUCGCCACAAAGAGCACAGGCCUAGGGGAGCCUACCUGCCCGGAUGGGAGUUUCGCCUCUGGUUACGUGAUCGACGCCUGGGGGAAGUGGAAGGGGAUCAUGUGCCUGGCACCCCUAUCCGUGGAGGACGUGGAAGAUGUUUAUAUAUUUGGAUUUAUGAUGACAGGCCUGCUGAUAAUCGGCUUGUUCACUGGCCUGAGCUUCUGGAAAAUCAGGAAGACCGCAGACAGAAAUGACGUCCAAACUCUGCUGGUCUAUGCAAACGAACGGAUCAUGGCUGCCGAUUCUCGGUAUGACGAACUCAAUCGUAAGAUGAACAAUUUGCUUGGUGUGACUGUUGAUUUGAGUCGCAGAUUGGAAGCCAUUAGGGUGAGAAUCGCUACAGCUGAGGUCUAAAAUUGUUGAUGUAUGCCCGGAAGGUGAAAUUGUUCCUCUCUCCUGACCAAACAAGAAGGAAACUGAUUACAUUCUGGCGCCCCUGGAACAAUAACAAACUCCUCUGGAAGUUUCAUGGCCAAGAGAUAGCUCUCCUAAACCCCCCCCACUUUCCCAAGGACACCUGUUGACUUUUGGACCGGGCCAACCGAGGACGUCUCCAUAGCAACCUUGCUGUGUUAUCGCGCUCCCACCCUCGCGAAUCUGAGACACCGGAGGUCUGAGACGGAAGAAGAUGGGCUACACACAUACACAAACAUUCGGACUCAUGAACUGAGGACUGAGCUAAACAUUCGCACAGACAUUCCCAUAUCCCCCUCCCCCCCGCUUCCACAAGCUUCCCUCGCUAUGCACAGGAGCCAGGAAUCCGUGCACUUGCACAGGAACCGGCUAACUGUGCGGUGCUCCCCCCUCCACCACCCCACAUCCUUAUCCCAACUAUCCUUUUCUAACGUCAUGCUUUGCCUGUUUGUGGGUUUGUUUUUUUAGGUUCCUUCUCAAAUUGAAUUUCCCAACAUUGGAGGUUUCAUUUGGUACAACGAGCCUUUUUUUUCCUUUACCCUUUGCAAUCCCUACCCAGAUCCCAACAUGUCCUUUUUCUUUUUUUCUUCAAGAAAGGUGCGCGCAGCACUGCGCAGCAGCCGGAGCUGUCAUUGGCAGGGCAGCUCAAAUGAAAUUUCGUUGUAUAUGAAAAUGUGCAAUGACCAAUAAAGAUUGAUUGAUUGAUUGAUACACUGUAUCCAUGUAUGCCCGUAGUGCAGCAGAAAAAGGGACUGCCGGAUCAGACAAUGAUGUAACUUCAGCCUGGGUAAGCUGCUGGGGUAGUUGUGCAUCAGGUACAGUGACACCCUCUGGGUAUGGGGUGUGAGGUCCUGUCCAGUCUAUUCCAUAAUCAGCAGCAACCUGAAAGGAAAGCAUAAUUUGAAAGCAAGCCCUUUUAUUAAGAAAUGCACAUUCCUCAAGGAAAAAAAAAUUAAGAAGUAAAUGAGAUUAGGAACUACAUGGUAUGGCAAAACGGCAAGUGAACCGUCUAGUACCACAGCAGAAAUAAUAAAGUUAACAUAAAUAAAUAUAAAGGAAGACAGGAAGGUAGAGGUACAAGAGGGAAUUUGUACCUCAACUGGAUCAGC